rnacentral:rRNA from 1 species
AUGAACGCUAGCUACAGGCUUAACACAUGCAAGUCGAGGGGCAGCAUUUUUAUAGCAAUAUAAAAGAUGGCGACCGGCGCACGGGUGAGUAACACGUAUCCAACCUGCCGAUAACUCGGGGAUAACCCUUCGAAAGAAGGCCUAAUACCCGAUGGCAUAUCCCUUCCGCCUGGUGGGGAUAUUAAAGAACUUCGGUUAUCGAUGGGGAUGCGCUCCAUUAGCUUGUUGGCGGGGUAACGGCCCACCAAGGCUUCGAUGGAUAGGGGUUCUGAGAGGAAGGUCCCCCACAUUGGAACUGAGACACGGUCCAAACUCCUACGGGAGGCAGCAGUGAGGAAUAUUGGUCAAUGGACGAGAGUCUGAACCAGCCAAGUAGCGUGAAGGAUGAAGGUCCUAUGGAUUGUAAACUUCUUUUAUACGGGAAUAAAGUGCAGUAUGCAUACUGUUUUGUAUGUACCGUAUGAAUAAGGAUCGGCUAACUCCGUGCCAGCAGCCGCGGUAAUACGGAGGAUCCGAGCGUUAUCCGGAUUUAUUGGGUUUAAAGGGAGCGUAGGCGGAUGCUUAAGUCAGUUGUGAAAGUUUGCGGCUCAACCGUAAAAUUGCAGUUGAUACUGGGCGUCUUGAGUACAGUAGAGGCAGGCGGAAUUCGUGGUGUAGCGGUGAAAUGCUUAGAUAUCACGAAGAACUCCGAUUGCGAAGGCAGCCUGCUGGACUGUCACUGACGCUGAUGCUCGAAAGUGUGGGUAUCAA